GGCCUGUGUGUUUCAGACACCUCACUUCUUCAGCCAUGGACAAAGGUUUGCUGAUUGUCCUUGUUCUUCUGCUCACCACAGCUUUCAUUUCUACUGAUGCAGCUGCUUUGGUGACAGAUGGUCAUCAACAGCAACCUGCUGUUAGGGCAGAAAAAAGAAUUGAGCAGAUGAAAAUUCGGGCCAUGAAGACAAGCUGUGGGAAGAAACCAGGUGGAUGCUCGCCUUUACUACGCUUCAUUCCCACCACUCCAUCCAUAAGACAUGUUGGGGAAACAAAUAUUUGAUGCAACAUGAUGGAAUCAGUCAAAUUCGUGUUGUCUUGAAGAACACAAUUUUAAAACAAGCAUUUCAGGAACUGCUUAAGAUUGCUGAUGAGUGUGUACUGUACGCUGUAAUUCCUAAACAAAAGAAAAUGCAGAUCAUUUAAUUACAUUAAAAUAUUUCAGAAGCAA